AGGUUUUGGAAAGAGAAAGAGGGAGAGACGGUGACUGUGUAUGUUAAUAGACCCUUACUAAUAUACAAGAAAUUUACACAUAAGGAAAGAGAAAUAUUGAAAUGCAAGACCAGGUCAAAGCCACUAAACAUGACAGUUGAGAAAUUCUUUUUCUUUUUCUUUUUUUUUCCAACAUGAUUGAGUUGUGGAUUGAGUCUACCAUGUUCUCCAAUUAGUUGUUUUUUCCAUAUUCUCCAUUUAAGUAGUGGUCUUUCCUAAUUCUUUAAUUGUAGGAGGAGGGUGUUCCUCCAUGUUGAGCCCAUGAUUUUCAUGAUUUUCAGCUUUCUUAUUUGUAGAAAGAGAUUAUCUCUUUCCUUUAGUAUUUAAGUUCAGCAAAUCAAUAAAGGAAACAUGUUUAAAAUUGCCAAAAGUUGUUGAGUACUAAAACUCAAGAGAUUUUCAAGUUCUCUCUAAGAGCUUGUACAACCUCCAUCGAAGGUCGAAAAAAGAAAACAUGAUUGCACCCUCAUCCAUUAACUCUAUUUUUUCCACUCAAUUGUCCCAUAAUCAGAUCCUAUUCUAGGGACCAUAACAGUGUACAAGAGGAAGACACGGACAAUCUAAGAGCUUGUACAACCUCCAUCGAAGGUUGAAGAAAGAAAACAUGAUUCCACCCUCAUCCAUUAACUCUAUUUUUUCCACUCAAUUGUCCCGUAAUCAGAUCCUAUUCUAGGGACCAUAACAGUGUACAAGAGGAAGACACGGACAAUUUAGUUCAAGAAAUAUUAUUGUUUUAAUUUUGUAGAAUUCAUUUGAAAUUUUACCUCUUUUUAUAGAGUUUGAUUUUAGUUAUAACCAAUUACAUAGAAUCAAGUUCCUAUAAUAGAAAUCUAAAUUUAUUUUUCAAACCAAAUAUGAAAAUUGUGAAAUUCACCACAAAAUUUUCCAAAAUUCAUUUGAUCCAAACAUAGCUUAGGAAAAAGUAGGUAAUUCACAGGAAAGUAGAUCAAUAACAAGUAAAUUUAGAAUCAUAAAGAAUGUUUGUAG
rnacentral:lncRNA from 1 species